rnacentral:rRNA from 1 species
UGCAAGUCGAGCGAACAGAUAAGGAGCUUGCUCCUUUGACGUUAGCGGCGGACGGGUGAGUAACACGUGGGUAACCUACCUAUAAGACUGGAAUAACUCCGGGAAACCGGGGCUAAUGCCGGAUAACAUUUAGAACCGCAUGGUUCUAAAGUGAAAGAUGGUUUUGCUAUCACUUAUAGAUGGACCCGCGCCGUAUUAGCUAGUUGGUAAGGUAACGGCUUACCAAGGCAACGAUACGUAGCCGACCUGAGAGGGUGAUCGGCCACACUGGAACUGAGACACGGUCCAGACUCCUACGGGAGGCAGCAGUAGGGAAUCUUCCGCAAUGGGCGAAAGCCUGACGGAGCAACGCCGCGUGAGUGAUGAAGGGUUUCGGCUCGUAAAACUCUGUUAUUAGGGAAGAACAAACGUGUAAGUAACUGUGCACGUCUUGACGGUACCUAAUCAGAAAGCCACGGCUAACUACGUGCCAGCAGCCGCGGUAAUACGUAGGUGGCAAGCGUUAUCCGGAAUUAUUGGGCGUAAAGCGCGCGUAGGCGGUUUCUUAAGUCUGAUGUGAAAGCCCACGGCUCAACCGUGGAGGGUCAUUGGAAACUGGGAGACUUGAGUGCAGAAGAGGAAAGUGGAAUUCCAUGUGUAGCGGUGAAAUGCGCAGAGAUAUGGAGGAACACCAGUGGCGAAGGCGACUUUCUGGUCUGUAACUGACGCUGAUGUGCGAAAGCGUGGGG